CGAGCGGCGGACGGCUGAGUAACACGUAGGAAUCUACCCCAAACUGAGGGAUAACUGCUCGAAAGAGUAGCUAAUACCGCAUGUGGUCUAAGGAUUAAAGCUUCGGCGCUUUGGGAACGGCCUGCGUAUGAUUAGCUUGUUGGUGAGGUAACGGCUCACCAAGGCGACGAUCAUUAGCUGGUCUGAGAGGAUGAUCAGCCAGACUGGGACUGAGACACGGCCCAGACUCCUACGGGAGGCAGCAGUAGGGAAUUUUCCACAAUGGGCGAAAGCCUGAUGGAGCAACGCCGCGUGCAGGAUGAAUGCCUUCGGGUUGUAAACUGCUUUUAUAUGUGACGAUUAUGACGGUAGCAUAUGAAUAAGGAUCGGCUAAUUCCGUGCCAGCAGCCGCGGUCAUACGGAAGAUCCAAGCGUUAUCCGGAAUUACUGGGCGUAAAGAGUUGCGUAGGUGGCAUAGUAAGUAGAUAGUGAAAGCCUGGGGCUCAACCCCUUACACAUUGUCUAAACUGCUAAGCUAGAGGGCGAGAGAGGUAGCUAGAAUUCCUUGUGUAGGAGUGAAAUCCGUAGAUAUAAGGAGGAAUACCGAUGGCGUAGGCAGGCUACUGGCUCGUCCCUGACACUAAGGCACGAAAGCGUGGGGAGCGACCGGGAUUAGAUACCCCGUUAGUCCACGCCGUAAACGAUGGAUGCUAGCUGUUAUGCGUAUCGACCCGCGUAGUAGCGAAGCUAACGCGUUAAGCAUCCCGCCUGUGGAGUACGAGCGCAAGCUUAAAACAUAAAGGAAUUGACGGGGACCCGCACAAGCGGUGGAGCGUGUU
rnacentral:rRNA from 1 species